ACCAAGCCUGGCCCGGUGCCCCGUCCCGCACCGCUGCCGCCGCAUUAGCCCGUGAACCGCCGCCAAAUGGCCCCAUCAAUUUUUCAUCAGGGCUAAAACCCUGCCCUGCACGGAUAAAACGCGGCGCUGCCGCCGGGCGGGACGCGGGGUGUGAGCCCGCACCCGCGGGGAGCGCCGCCGGCUCCGCGGAAGGUUGCCCACCACAGUAGGGUCCACGGCAGGAUGGCAUGCUGGACACCGGGCUUUGCAGAAGGGACAUACAGGGGCUCCAGGGGGGCAGCCUGCAGGAUGCCAAAGCCCACGGAGGGAUGUGGGAAGCGGAUACUGGUGUGGCCAGUGGAACAGCCUGCAAAACCCCAGGGCUCCCCCGAGGGACACACCGCAGUCCUGGAGGGUACUGCAGCUUUGGGAGCGACUCCUUACCUGCCCGGGAGUGUAGGCUGGGCAGCAUGGUGGCCAGAAAUCGCUGCUUCUGGUCAAAAAGAAGGAUAAGUCAUUAAGUCAUCCAGGAGGAAGCUGACUUGGGGACAUUGCCUCUAGUACGAGGACAUCACCUCCACAAUGACAUCACCUCUGGUACAAUGACAUGUUCUUUGUGGGGUGAUGGAAACAGUCGCAGCUCAGUGAGAACUGAGCAGUCCAGCUCCCCUCGCCAGGAACGUGCUGUGGGCUUGUGUGUGAUGGGAAUGCCAGGUCUGCUCAUCUGUGGAAGCAGCAGGAGACCAUGCAUGGGCAGCAGGGUCUGUAUGGACAAAACUGCAUGAUAUCGGCUUGACAGGGCAAUCCCCAAACCCAUGGGUGGAGGGGUAGGUGUGAGCAUGGGGAAAAGCAAGAUCAGGCUUUCACCUUUGGCAUCACAUGGUGGUUGUGCAUAGUCUUGCCUUUGUCAGCAAGGCAAAUGAAGGAGGGCAACCUCCAAAGCUUGCUAAUAAAUAUUAGCACCUCCUGA